rnacentral:rRNA from 1 species
AUGCGAGCGUUAUCCGGAUUUAUUGGGUUUAAAGGGUGCGUAGGUUGUUUUGUAAGUCAGUGGUGAAACCCCGUGGCUCAACCCCGGGCAUGCCAUUGAAACUGCAGGACUUGAGAAUGGACGAGGCAGGCGGAAUGUGUGGUGUAGCGGUGAAAUGCAUAGAUAUCACACAGAACACCGAUUGCGAAGGCAGCUUGCCAGACCAUGUCUGACACUGAAGCACGAAAGCGUGGGUAUCG